rnacentral:rRNA from 1 species
GAUGAACGCUAGCUACAGGCUUAACACAUGCAAGUCGAGGGGUAACGAGAGGAAAGCUUGCCUUCCUUGUUGACGACCGGCGCACGGGUGAGUAACGCGUAUCCAACCUGCCCCCAACUAGGGAAUAACCUUGCGAAAGUAAGACUAAUACCCUAUAAUUUCCUCAGAUGUCAUCUGUCGAGGAAUAAAGAUUUAUCGGUUGUGGAUGGGGAUGCGUCUGAUUAGCUUGUUGGCGGGGUAACGGCCCACCAAGGCAACGAUCAGUAGGGGUUCUGAGAGGAAGGUCCACCACAUUGGAACUGAGACACGGUCCAAACUCCUACGGGAGGCAGCAGUGAGGAAUAUUGGUCAAUGGGCGGAAGCCUGAACCAGCCAAGUAGCGUGCAGGAUGACGGCCCUAUGGGUUGUAAACUGCUUUUAUACAGGAAUAAAGUUAGCCACGUGUGGUUAUUUGUAGGUACUGUAUGAAUAAGGACCGGCUAAUUCCGUGCCAGCCGCCGCCGUAA